CAGCAGCCGCGGGAAUACGUAGGGUGCGAGCGUUAAUCGGAAUUACUGGGCGUAAAGCGUGCGCAGGCGGUUUUGUAAGACAGGCGUGAAAUCCCCGGGCUCAACCUGGGAAUGGCGCUUGUGACUGCAAAGCUAGAGUGCGGCAGAGGGGGAUGGAAUUCCGCGUGUAGCAGUGAAAUGCGUAGAUAUGCGGAGGAACACCGAUGGCGAAGGCAAUCCCCUGGGCCUGCACUGACGCUCAUGCACGUAAGCGUGGGGAGCGAACAGGAUUAGAUACCCCUGUAGUCCCUGUCUCUUAUAC
rnacentral:rRNA from 1 species